UGGGAUUAAAGAUAUGCACUGCCACUGCCCA
rnacentral:piRNA from 1 species